AUGCUAGCAAGUUUGGAAAACUCAGCAGUGGCCACAGGACUGGAAAAGGUCAGUUUCAUUCCAAUCCCAAAGAAAGGCAAUGCCAAAGAAUGUUCAAACUACCGCACAAUUGCACUCAUCUCACAUGCUAGUAAAGUAAUGCUCAAAAUUCUCCAAACCAGGCUUCAGCAAUAUGUGAAUCAUGAAAUCCCUGAUGUUCCAGCUGGUUUUAGAAAAGGCAGAGGAACCAGAGAUCAAAUUGCCAACAUCCACUGGAUCAUCAAAAAAGCAAUAGAGUUCCAGAAAAACAUCUAUUUCUGCUUGAUUGACUAUGCCAAAGCCUUUGACUGUGUGGAUCACAAUAAAUUGUGGAAAAUUCUGAAGGAGAUGGGAAUAUCAGACCACCUAACCUGCCUCUUGAGAAACCUACAUGCAGGUCAGGAAGCAACAGUUAGAACUGGACAUGGAACAACAGACUGGUUCCAAAUAGGAAAAGGAGUACAUCAAGGCAGUAUAUUGUCACCCUGCUUAUUUAACUUAUAUGCAGAGUACAUCAUGAGAAACGCUGGACUGGAAGAAGCACAAGCUGGAAUCAAGAUUGCUUGGAGAAAUAGCAAUAACCUCAGAUAUGCAGAUGACACCACCCUUAAGGCAGAAAGUGAAGAGGAGCUAAAAAGCCUCUUGAUGAAAGUGAAAGAGGAGAGUGGAAAAGUUGGCUUAAAGCUCAACAUUCAGAAAAUGAAGAUCAUGGCAUCUGGUCCCAUCACUUCAUGGGAAAUAGAUGGGGAAACAGUGGAAACAGUGUCAGACUUUAUUUUGGGGGGCUCCAAAAUCACUGCAGAUGGUGAUUGCAGCAAUGAAAUUAAAAGACGCUUACUCCUUGGAAGAAAAGUUAUAACCAACCUAGAUAGUAUAUUCAAAAGCAGAGAUAUGACUUUGCCGACUAAGGUCCAUUUAGUCAAGGCUACGGUUUUUCCAGUGGUCAUGUAUGGAUGUGAGAGUUGGACUGUGAAGAAGGCUGAGUGCCAAAGAGUUGAUGCUUUUAAACUGUGGUGUUGGAGAAGACUCUUGAGAGUUCCUUGGACUGCAAGGAGAUCCAAGCAGUCCAUUCUGAAGGAGAUCAGCCCUGGGAUUAUUUUGGAAGGAAUGACGCUAAAGCUGAAACUCCAGUACUUUGGCCACCUCAUGAGAAGAGUUGACUCAUUGGAAAAGACUCUGAUGCUGGGAGGGUUGUGGGCAGGAGGAGAAGGGGAUGACAGGAAGAGAUGGCUGGAUGGCAUCACCGACUCAAUUAAUGUGAAUCUGAGUGAACUCUGGGAGAUGGUGAUGGACAGGGAGGCCUGGCGUGAUGCGAUUCAUGGGGUCACAAAGAGUCAGACAUGA
rnacentral:lncRNA from 1 species